rnacentral:rRNA from 2 species
UUUCGGCUAGGGGGCCAUCCCGGCUUACCAACCCGAUGCAAACUGCGAAUACCGGAGAAUGUUAUCACGGGAGACACACGGCGGGUGCUAACGUCCGUCGUGAAGAGGGAAACAACCCAGACCGCCAGCUAAGGUCCCAAAGUCAUGGUUAAGUGGGAAACGAUGUGGGAAGGCCCAGACAGCCAGGAUGUUGGCUUAGAAGCAGCCAUCAUUUAAAGAAAGCGUAAUAGCUCACUGGUCGAGUCGGCCUGCGCGGAAGAUGUAACGGGGCUAAACCAUGCACCGAAGCUGCGGCAGCGACGCUGAUGCGUUGUUGGGUAGGGGAGCGUUCUGUAAGCCUGCGAAGGUGGCCUGUGAGGGUUGCUGGAGGUAUCAGAAGUGCGAAUGCUGACAUAAGUAACGAUAAAGCGGGUGAAAAGCCCGCUCGCCGGAAGACCAAGGGUUCCUGUCCAACGUUAAUCGGGGCAGGGUGAGUCGACCCCUAAGGCGAGGCCGAAAGGCGUAGUCGAUGGGAAACGGGUUAAUAUUCCCGUACUUGGUGUUACUGCGAAGGGGGGACGGAGAAGGCUAUGUUGGCCGGGCGACGGUU